rnacentral:rRNA from 1 species
UACGGGAGGCAGCAGUGGGGAAUAUUGCACAAUGGGCGAAAGCCUGAUGCAGCUAUGCCGCGUGUAUGAAGAAGGCCUUAGGGUUGUAAAGUACUUUCAGUCGUGAGGAAGGUGUUAAGGUUAAUAACCUUAGCAAUUGACGUUAGCGACAGAAGAAGCACCGGCUAACUCCGUGCCAGCAGCCGCGGUAAUACGGAGGGUGCGAGCGUUAAUCGGAAUUACUGGGCGUAAAGGGCACGCAGGCGGUUAAUUAAGUUGGAUGUGAAAUCCCCGGGCUUAACCUGGGAAUGGCAUUCAAGACUGGUUAGCUAGAGUCUUGUAGAGGGGGUAGAAUUCCAUGUGUAGCGGUGAAAUGCGUAGAGAUGUGGAGGAAUACCGGUGGCGAAGGCGGCCCCUGGACAAAGACUGACGCUCAUGUGCGAAAGCGUGGGGAGCAAACAGGGAUUAGAUACC